AUUGAACGCUGGCGGCAGGCUUAACACAUGCAAGUCGAACGAGGGGCGGACGGGUGAGUAAUGCGUGGGAAUCUAGCUGAUGGAGGGGGAUAACUACGGGAAACUGUAGCUAAUACCGCGUACUAUACGAUGAGCCCAAGUGGGAUUAGCUAGUUGGUGAGGUAAAGGCGCACCAAGCCGACGAUCUAGAACUGGUCUGAGAGGAUGACCAGCCACACUGGGACUGAGACACGGCCCAGACUCCUACGGGAGGCAGCAGUGGGGAAUAUUGCACAAUGGGGGAAACCUGACUCAGCCAUGCCGCGUGAGUGAAGAAGGCCUUCGGGUUGUAAAGUACUUUCGGUAGCGAGGCGUUAACUACAGAAGAAGCACCGGCUAACUCCGUGCCAGCAGCCGCGGUAAUUC
rnacentral:rRNA from 1 species